rnacentral:rRNA from 1 species
GUGUCAGCCGCCGCGGUAAGACGAACCGUCCGAACGUUAUUCGGUAUCACUGGGCUUAAAGAGUUCGUAGGCGGCCAGAUAGGUCAGGUGUGAAAUCCCACAGCUCAACUGUGGAACUGCGCUUGAAACCAUCUGGCUUGAGGGAGAUAGAGGUGAGCGGAACUGAUGGUGGAGCGGUGAAAUGCGUUGAUAUCAUCAGGAACACCGGUGGCGAAAGCGGCUCACUGGGUCUCUUCUGACGCUGAGGAACGAAAGCUAGGGGAGCGAACGGGAUUAGAUACCCCGGUAGUCCUAGCCGUAAACGAUGAGCACUAGUCCGUGGGGACUCUCACAUCCUCUCGGACGUAGCGAAAGUGUCAAGCGCUCCGCCUGGGGAGUAUGGUCGCAAGGCUGAAACUUAAAUGAAUUGGCGGGG